rnacentral:rRNA from 1 species
GAUGAACGCUGGCGGCGUGCCUAAUACAUGCAAGUCGAGCGAACGGACGAGAAGCUUGCUUCUCUGAUGUUAGCGGCGGACGGGUGAGUAACACGUGGAUAACCUACCUAUAAGACUGGGAUAACUUCGGGAAACCGUAGCUAAUACCGGAUAAUAUUUUGAACCGCAUGGUUCAAAAGUGAAAGACGGUCUUGCUGUCACUUAUAGAUGGAUCCGCGCUGCAUUAGCUAGUUGGUAAGGUAACGGCUUACCAAGGCAACGAUGCAUAGCCGACCUGAGAGGGUGAUCGGCCACACGGGAACUGAGACACGGUCCAGACUCCUACGGGAGGCAGCAGUAGGGAAUCUUCCGCAAUGGGCGAAAGCCUGACGGAGCAACGCCGCGUGAGUGAUGAGGGUCUUCGGAUCGUAAAACUCUGUUAUUAGGGAAGAACAUAUGUGUAAGUAACUGUGCACAUCUUGACGGUACCUAAUCAGAAAGCCACGGCUAACUACGUG